rnacentral:lncRNA from 1 species
GUCACCAUGGAGCAGAUGAGCCCAGAAGGACCCCCAAACACUUUGAGUAUUAGCAGAAAUCUUUAAUAAAUUAUUACCUUUCUUCCAGCCGCAUUAAAGCCAGUCCCAGCCAGGCUUAAGGAGAGCUGGAAUGGAGAGGAUUCUCAUCUAACAUCUGGGUUGCAGUUGUAUGUUAACAUGGACUUCCUAGGAAGUAACAUAUCAAACAAAAGGGGAAGUGAUCAACCAGCAGCAGGUACCAGCCACAGUUAAC